AGUGAACGCUGGCGGUAGGCCUAACACAUGCAAGUCGAACGGCAGCACAGUAAGAGCUUGCUCUUACGGGUGGCGAGUGGCGGACGGGUGAGGAAUACAUCGGAAGCUACUUUUUCGUGGGGGAUAACGUAGGGAAACUUACGCUAAUACCGCAUAUGUCCUACGGGUGAAAGCAGGGGAGCUUCUGACCUUGCUCGAUUGAAUGAGCCGCUGUCGGAUUAGCUAGUUGGCGGGGUAAAGGCCCACCAUGGCGACGAUCCGUAGCUGGUCUGAGAGGAUGGUCGGCCAAACUGGAACUGAGACACGGUCCAGACUCCUACGGGAGGCAGCAGUGGGGAAUAUUGAGCAAUGGGCGCAAGCCUGAUCCAGCCAUACCGCGUGAGUGAUGAAGGCCUUCGGGUUGUAAAGCCCUUUUGUUGGGAAAGAAAAGCAGCAGGUUAAUACCCCGCUGUUCUGACGGUACCCAAUCAAUAAGCACCGGCUAACUUCGUG
rnacentral:rRNA from 1 species